rnacentral:rRNA from 1 species
UACGGGGGGAGCAAGCGUUGUUCGGAUUUACUGGGCGUAAAGGGCGCGUAGGCGGCCACCGCAAGUCAAUUGUGAAAUCUCCGGGCUUAACUCGGAAAGGUCAACUGAUACUGCGGGGCUAGAGUGCGGAAGGGGCAACUGGAAUUCUCGGUGUAGCGGUGAAAUGCGUAGAUAUCGAGAGGAACACCUGCGGCGAAGGCGGGUUGCUGGGCUGAUACUGACGCUGAGGCGCGAAAGCUAGGGGAGCGAACAGG